rnacentral:lncRNA from 1 species
CGUUGAUAUACUAACAAAAAGUUAAUAACUAAGGUUUUUAGUCCUUCCAGCAGAGUUGACCUAAGACAGCUCUAGCUGACUUAUCAUUUAAAGUCUUUUUUCUUCGUAAAAUGUAUCAAGAAUGCAUACAUUGCUGAAUUUCGAACAUUUGAAAUUGAUCGUUUCGGAUGCAAUUAAAUCCAUACAAAAAUGUUCAAGAAUAAAAUUGAUUGAUUGAUUGUUGGUUGCUUUACGCCGCAUUCAGCACAAAAGGCUAUAUCGCGGCGAUCAAUAAUAAAAAUACCGAACACAAAAGAAAAUUCAAAUCGGAAAACCCUUUGACACAAUCAAAAUCUUAAACAAUUCAAACGAAUUGAAAACGACUGAUAUCUUCCAGACUUGGUACAGAAAUUUCAUUAUGUUAAAAAUG